UACGGGGGGGGCAAGCGUUGUUCGGAAUUACUGGGCGUAAAGGGCUCGUAGGCGGCCAACUAAGUCAGACGUGAAAUCCCUCGGCUUAACCGGGGAACUGCAUCUGUGACUGCAUCGCUGGAGUGCGGCAGAGGGGGAUGGAAUUCCGCGUGUAGCAGUGAAAUGCGUAGAUAUGCGGAGGAACACCGAUGGCGAAGGCAAUCCCCUGGGCCUGCACUGACGCUCAUGCACGAAAGCGUGGGGAGCAAACAGG
rnacentral:rRNA from 1 species